UCAAACCAAAGAAACCCUACUUCUCCCCAAUUUGUACGUGCGGCAGACCCCACCCCCUCAUCGUUCUUGGAGUCAACGACAGACCCCACCCUUUCUCGAAACCCUCUUCAGUUUCAUUUUGACGGACGUAUCUAACCAACUCUUAAACAAGUAACAUAACCUACCGAGCACUCUAAGGUCGUUAGGUACUUGGAAACAGGAACUUGC